rnacentral:tRNA from 1 species
CAAGGGGUAGUUUAGUUAGAAUUUCAGCUUUGGGUGCUGAAGGUGAGGUUAGGAUGCCUUCUCCUUGA